rnacentral:lncRNA from 1 species
AGGCAACUUGAGAAAGAAGUUAAUACUUUAACUCCAGCUAUUGCUAAAAAGCAUAAACCCAAUUUUGGCAAUUGUGGAAACACUAAUUCUGAAAGCUUUGGAUUAGAAGUUCAGAGUGAUGAACCUUCUAAUGAUGCCUUAUAUGUUAACCGACCUAGAUAUCAGGAAAUAUAUCGGAUUUUUCCUGGCUAGUGCAGGAGAUAGAGAGGGUGGAAGAAAGUCCAGGCCGGAACCGAUAUCAGGCCAAAAAUAAGAUGUGCGUGUGAUAAAAAAUGUUUGUUAUUUAAUUAAUAUAUGUGGGUAUUGUUCAA